rnacentral:piRNA from 2 species
UUUCAGAAUCUCUCAGUGCUAUGUUAUUGC